GUUGAAUGCUGGCGGUGCGCCUAAUACAUGCAAGUCGAACGAGAUAUUCGUUUAGUUUACUAAAUGAAUGGAAAGUGGCGGACGAGCGAGUAACACGUAAGAAUCUACCCCGUACUCAGGGAUAACGGUCCGAAAGGAUCGCUAAUACCGGAUGGUCUCGAAAGAGUAAAGCUUUUGCGGUACGGGAGGAGCUUGCGGCCUAUCAGUUUGUUGGUGAGGUAAAAGCUUACCAAGACUAUGACGGGUAGCUGGUGUGAGAGCAUGACCAGCCGCGAUGGGACUGAGACACGGCCCAUACUCCUACGGGAGGCAGCAGUAAGGAAUCUUCCGCAAUGGACGAAAGUCUGACGGAGCGACACCGCGUGAAGGAUGAAGCAUCUAGGUGUGUAAACUUCUUUUAUGAGGGAAGAAAAUCUGACGGUACCUCAUGAAUAAGGACCGGCUAAUUACG
rnacentral:rRNA from 1 species